rnacentral:lncRNA from 1 species
UGAGAAAGAGUCCAGAUUGAGUUAUAAUGGAUGGAUCAGAAAACAGUAGCAUAUUGCAAGUUGGAAGUCAUACAAAAGUCCUGAAAUAUAUCUCAAAAUGUUAGCAAUCCAUGAUAGAGUAGUAUCCUUUGUUGAACACUUACAAUAUGUAGAAAACCGUUCCUGGGACUUGGCAAGAGUUAAUGUGUUCAUCUCCUAUACUGGUUCUGUUUUAGUUGUGCGGUUUUCUUUCUUUGUUUCUUUUCUUCAAAAAUGAUUUUCUAAGCACAGACUCUAAAUGAUGAAACGAGUCUCUGAUGCAGACCAGCUUUGUAUUACUGAGAAUCAUGGCAUGAAAUGGUUAUAGGAAAAAUACCUAUUUACAGAAUUAGUAAGGGAAAAAAAAAAACAAUGUGAUUUCAUAUACAUAAGAACACCAGCUACUCUGGGAAAGCUUACAGGGUUGGAGAACUCUGAACAUGAAACCCUGAUCACUAGAAUGGGCUAGAGAAAUAAUAGCCACUGUUGAAUGAAUGCUGCAGAGCUAUGUUGCCAAGGGGAUGAAAAUGAACACAGAGAACGUAACACAUCCAUAAAAAGAUAGAAAUGUCUUGUUUAGUGCAGAUCUCAUUUGAAAACAACUUUCGGUCCUACAAAUCCAUAUCCCCUUACUGAAGGACACACUGUUAAACCAUUCAUAACCUCCAGGUAUUGGUUAAGACCAGGAUGACAUACUGUGAUUCUUUAUUAUUAUUAUUUUUAUUUUAUAUUAUAAGUGAUAUUCUUUUUUGUUUUUUUCUUUAUUAAUUUAUUAUUUUACACUCUGUAUUUUAUCCAACCCCCGCCCCCAUCCACUCUCCUUCUAUUCCACAUCCCACAUCUUCUCCCCAUCCCCUGUCUCCCCCUGGAUGUCCCCACCUCCCACCCCACCUAAACUCCUUAGGACCUCCAGUCUCAUGAAGGUAAGGUACAUCUUCUCUGAAUGAACACAGGCCCAGCCGUCCUCUACUGUAUAUGUAUUGGGGGAUUCAUAUCAGGUGGUGUAUGCUGCCUGUUUGAUGGUCCAGUGUUUGAGAGACCUCGGGGGUCCAGAUUGAGACUGCUGGUCCUCCUACAGGAUUGCCCUUCUCCUCAGAUUCCUUCAGCCUUCCCUAAUUCAAUAACAGGGGUCAUUUGCUUCUGUCCAUUGGUUGGGUGCAAAUAACUGCCUCUGACCCUUUCAACUGCUUAUUGGGUCUUUGAGAGAGCAGUCAUGAUAGAUUCCUUUUUGUGAGCACUCCAUAGCCUCAGUAGUAAUGUCAGACCUUGGGACCUCCCUUGAACUGGAUCCCUCUUUGGGCCUGUCUCUGGACCUUGUUUUCCUCAGGCUCCUCUCCAUUUCUAUCCCUGUAAUUCUUCCAGACAGGAACAAUUAUGGGUCAGACUUGUGACUGUGAGAUGGCAACCCCAUGUUGAUGUCCUGUCUUCCUGCUGGAGAGUGCUCUAUAAGUCCCCUCUCCCUACUGUCUGGCAUUUCAUCUAAGGUCCCUCCCUUUGAGCCCUGAGAGUCUCUCACCUCCCAGAUAUCCGGUGCGUUUUGGAGGAUCCUCCCAAACUCCUAUUUCUGGAGGUUGCCUGUGACACUUGUCUUCUUAGCAAAGGUGAAAGCAAGGGAAUGAAGUAAGGAUAUGAGUGCCAGAAAAUCAUCAGGAAGUAAUUCUUUGUUAAGAGUUUCCAUAGAAAGCAAACAAAUGCAAACAUAACAUUUUACCUUUCUUGUACUCAUCCCUUGCCCUUCCUUGAUAGAAGUCACAUGGGAAAUGUGAAAAACAAAUGUGGCCAAAGCGACAAGCACCAUAAAGCACAGGAAAUGCUCAGCUUUCAAUCUUCUGUGAAAACUGGACAGCAUCAAUUCUUGAGCAAUGGUACAUUAAAUAGCAAGAAAGAGACCCCAGGGAUUAAGUGCUGGGCUGCAUCAGUCCACUGAAAAUGAAGAAAUGCCUAUUUUUGUACAGAAGUCCAGGGCAUCUGGAGAUCAUGAGCAACUGCAGAAAAUUUUAGUGUGCGAGUUAGACAGUAGAGAGUGUUGCAGAGAGGUCAGCAGAAAUAUCUUUAAGAGAGUGUUCCUCGACAUUUUGCUGGGCUUUGAGCAUGGAAGUAACAAAAGGCCAGCAGGAGCAAUCUGAGAGGUCAAAGUUCUCUUUAUAACAAUGUACCUGGUCAUAAACACGAAAAUGUUCUGCAGAUAGAAGCUCUGCAGAACAAAUAAUAAGAAAGUGAUUGUAAGGUGUACAAAGCAUACAUGUUGUAAAUAAAUGCAUGUCCAGUUGUGAGGUUAGCCACAUACAGUGGCAUACAUUAGUCACAGGACUAAUAUCACUGUAUAGAAAUAGGAAAUGCAAAUGUAAGAGGAAGACUGCUGGAAUGAUGCAGAUCUGUAUGACAUGGCAUCUGGGAAAAUACAAUAAAACAGUUUAGAACUUGUCAGUGGAAUGGUGACACAUUCUCUUUGCAGAUUAUAAUUUGCUUUAUUGAUCUGGUUGAAUUACUUAAAGCCAUGUUUUGAUGUGAUUACACCACAUAUAUCCAAAUUAUACUUUCUUCCUAGAGAGAGGUAGACUUAAUACCUCUUCUACUACUGCAGGUUUGCAUCUAUUUCAUUCCUGAAAUCAGAGAAGCUCAUUAGGGAACUUAACAUGUAAUGCGCAUUGCACAAGAUACUUUUGCAGGGCUCUUCCUUAAUCCUCAUACUGUAUGGCUGAACAGGAACCUGGGACCUCUUUCUAAGGUCACAAGAUUGGAAGUAGCAGAAUUGAGAUGUAAACUGGGGUUCCCCUGGGGCCUGAGGCUGCUAUCCAUUAAGAGAUGCCCCAUCAUUCACAGAAUACAGAAUAGCAGGACAAACCAGGAGGGCACGCAAGAGACAAGCUCUCAGGGAAGAGACCUGAGAGAGGACAGACAAUCCUGGAUAGUCCAUCCAAGAAGACAGUAGACCUGAGUUGACUUGUGCAAAGCCCUAGGAGUAAUAUAUUGCAUACUGAGAGUCUGUUUAAUUCAUCCUAUGAGGAAAAGCAAAGCCUGGUCAUAAUAAGGAUAGGAUUUAAAGAGACAGUAGCCUCGGAAAAUGUGUUAUUGGUACAUUCCAUCAAUGUAAGCAAUCAUCAGAACAGUAUUUUUGUCCUCUCAGCCUGUUAUAAUCCUGAACAUAUAAGUAGGUACCUAAUACUCAUAUGUUUGGUAAAAGAUUGAAAAAUAAAAGAUCAAAGUUUUUAGCUGUAACUUUAUGGAUAAAGAUCUGCAGGACAAAAUUUUCCUAUGUGAUUCUGUCAAAAUCCAGAUAAUAUUUGAAUUAUCUUAUUGAAAAUAUAUUUUUCAUAUAAUAUACUAUAACUAUGGUUUGUAUUCCCCAAACCUUCCCAGGUUCUCCCAAUUUCUCUACUCAUCCAAAUCUACAACUUUUUUCUAUCACUAGAAUAUG